CUAUGUAGCGGCCAUCAAAGUGGAGGCCCUCUCUUGAGCCUGAAUGAGAAAGUGCUUCCACUUUGUGUGCCACUGCAUGG
rnacentral:pre_miRNA from 7 species